UACGAAGGGGGCUAGCGUUGCUCGGAAUCACUGGGCGUAAAGCGCACGUAGGCGGCUUUCUAAGUCAGGGGUGAAAUCCUGGAGCUCAACUCCAGAACUGCCUUUGAUACUGGAGAGCUUGAGUCCGGAAGAGGUGAGUGGAACUCCGAGUGUAGAGGUGAAAUGCGUAGAUAUCUGGAGGAACACCGGUGGCGAAGGCGGCUCACUGGCCCGGUACUGACGCUGAGGUGCGAAAGCGUGGGGAGCAAACAGGG
rnacentral:rRNA from 1 species